GACCAGAGGCGUGUGUCCACAGGUGUGUGACUACAUGUUGUGUGUGAAUACAGGUUGUGUGUGAAUACAGGUUGUGUGUGAAUACAGGUUGUGUGUGACUACAGAUGUGUGGGGACAGGUGUGUCGGAUGGAAGCUUACCAUAGCCGCUCCGACCGCAAUGCCAGUGAACCCCAUCUGUAAAGACACACAACGGCGUUAGUUGGGCUUAACAGCAGUGACAUCACAGAACAACCUCAGUAGAAAAUAACACAGACACACCCCACCCUGGCUGUGUAUUCAGUUUGUUUAACAAAUUAAAUCCAAUGAUACACGAGAAGAGGGUUCGACAGCCAAGGAACAAGUCAUCGACCACCGGGUCCACUAUAGAUUAUUCAACCUAAGUCUGUAUCUCGCUGUAUUACAUCCUGGAAUAAACCCUCUGAUCCAACCUGUCAAGCUGCUUUGAUUUCGACUUCAAGAAUUACUACUACGACUGAAAAUACACAACGCAGAGUCUGUCCGAACAGUUUAGAAAUAAGCUGAAAUCUAACAACACGUCUUUAUUACGAUAGAAUUGUAUAAUAAUAUUACUAUAUACUAACCUCAGUGAUCGGAGUGUCGAUGAUGCGUGCGUCUCCAUACUUCUUCCACAGACCUCGGCUGAUCUGCACACACACACACACACACACACACACACACACACACACACACACACACACACACACACACACACACACACACACACACACACACACAGUGACCUUGUGCAUGGGGAUGAUGGGUCACUGGGUGUAUGGGUCGUUUGUUGAGGUUACUGUGAGGGUUGACCUCUGACCUUGUAGGCUCCAUCGUACUGGGCCACCUCCUCUCCCAGUAGGAAGACCCUCUCGUCCCGCUCCAGCUCCUCGUCCAUGGCCUGGUUCAGGGCAUCCCGAACCGUCACCUGCACCAAGAAACACUGAUUAAUACAAUUAUACACAGUACUGCAGAAUACUCAUUAAAUAUAAAACACAAUACCUCAGAAAUACUCAUUCAUACAAUAGAAUACACAAUACUGCCGAAUAUUCAUUAAUUAUAGAACACAAUACUACAGAAAUAAUCUUUCAUACAAUAUUAUACUGCACAAAUGAUCAUUAGAUACAAAAUUGUUCAAAAUACUACUGAAAUAUUAAUUAAAAACAUCAGUAGAACAUAGAAUACUGCAGUUACGGAGCAACAUAAUUGUAGACAUUGAGUUCAUUCAAGUUCACUCAUAUGGACCCAGAUAUAAACACCUUGUAUCCUUGUACAAAUAAAACACAGCUUAUUCAUUAUUAGUAUGUGGAAUCAUAAUUCCUGAUUCUAAUCUGGAGUUGCCGUCACAUUCAUCCCUGGUAGAUACUGUAGUCACGAAGUGGAGAAACACGAGUCUACUACACUGCUCGGCUCUGCCGUGAGUGACAGCCAUCCGUUUCUACCUUGACCUCCAAAGACACGCCUCAUCACACGUUCAUAUGGUAUAAUAUUCAGUAUUAUUAAUAAUAUUCAGUAUUAUUGAUGUUCUCCAGCCCGGUGGACGGAGCAGCCGGCCCAUAAGUCGAGGGACUGACAGCGGACAGACCUGCACUGAAGCAGGGGCGCUUCUGUGGAACUCCCGCCGCAGGACAACCGCUGCAGCAUUCUGUAGAAGACAAACACAUUUCAUGAAAAUGAACUAUGUGACUCAAGAUGAUGAUAUUGUUACAAUAUAACCUGUAAUAAAACGAAUCAUUUACCCUUCCAGAUCGGAGAACACAACUCAGAGACGCCAUCUUUGAACUGUCCUCUGUUACCCUGUAGGCGGGGCUUUGUACGUCACAAGAGAUACCAGCCAAUCACAAUGGUCGUCGAUGACGCAGGGGUGCCUAGCCUUCAUCGUCAGCCAAUCGCUGAAUGUUGUGGAGGUGAAAGGCGGAAGGGAAUGCCGGCACUACAAAAAGCUCCCAAGGACAAGCGACCCGCAGCAUAACAUUUGGACGAAAACAUUUUUUAGUGAUAUGUUUUUUUUUUUUAUAUAUAUAUUAGUAGAUCUAAUGUGUUAUUUUUUCUUUUGUUUCUUUUUUUUAACUGCUUUGGCAAUAUCAAUUUAUAUUUUCCAUGCCAAUAAAGCUUUUCGAAUUGAACUAGGCGUGAGAUGAUGGCUUGAGUUGAUGAGCCGCUGGGAAGACUGAAGAGACAUCAACUGUUCAAAACUGGACCAGCUUGCCAACAACAGCAACAGGCUAACCCUAUAACCAUCUAACCCUUCAGCCCCUAACCCACUACCUCCUAAACCUUUCCCUGUGUCUGCAGAAGAGGCAAGGUCAUGUGGUAGAAAAUAAUGAAGGUUUAAAAAGGAUAUUUGCCAAAUGUUAAAAAUAAUAGUGGAGAGUAAUGUACCCGCCGGGGGAAGAGGGGCAGGCUGUAGACUCGUUCUACUGUUAUUCAACACGAGGGUCCUGUUAGAUUUCAGCUUAUUUCUAAACUAUUCGUACAGACUCGGCGUUGUGUAUUUUCCGUCGUAGUAGUAAUUCUUGAAGUCGAAAUCAAAGCACUUUCACAGGUUGGAUCAGAGGGUUGAAUAGAUGGUUUAUUCCAGGAUGUAAUACAGCGAGAUACAGACUUACGUUGAAUAAUAUAGUGGACGCGGUUGAGACGUGUUCCUUUGCUGUCGAACCCUCUUCUCACCGAACCAAAGGGUUGGGGCGAGUAUUAUACAAUAAGAGAAACAUGAAUAACACGUAAACAGAAGCACUCUCAGCCUUGAUAAGGUAUAUGGCCCUGGCUAUGUCCCAGAGGACCGUCGGUUCAUCCUUGUUGAUACAUAACAAAUGGCAGAUGUUGGAAAUAACACCUUGUAUCAGUGUGAGAAGCAUUGGCCUGUUCCUAGAGUAGAAAUGUGAACACAGAGAGACACUAAAAUACACCAACAUUCUACAUUCCUCCCUCUUAAUCAUAUUAAACGUAGUUUAAAGAUCACCCUUAAAAUGAGAAUUCAGUGUAUCUACUGGUAAACCAUUAACAAUUAACUAAAUCAAUAAAAGAAAGGCAUAAAAGUAAAUUCAAAUCAUACACAAGUAAACCAGGUGUAGGCUACUAUAAUAAAGAAAAUAACAAACUCAUUAGGUUACUCAUGAUUAAACCAAAACAGAUAAAUAAUUUAAAGAAUCAAGAAAGUCAACUGUCCAGACACCUCCCUCUGCUUGGCACAACAACAUCACAGACAAUACUGGUAACAUCAUGACUCAGUUGGUUUUGAGUAGCAGUUGCAACAGAGUUCUUUUCCAGUUGAUGGCCACCGCAGGUGUGAUGGGGGAUGAGGAUGAGAGUUCGUAGUAGGAACCAACAUUCUACAGUCCGGAGUGGACCGGCAAACAGACUCAGAUUAGACAUCCCUCUGUAGUCAAUGACAUCAGUCUUUUUCUCAGUUCACUUAGAUAAUAAGUAUAAGUAAGGUAAUCUUAUGAAUUAUACAAGAAUAUAUAUAUAUAUUUAUAAUGGAGCCAAAUGUUAAACACUUGAUAUUAACUGGCUUUCCUUGGUCAACAAGUACUUGCAUUUUGAGGGACAUUUACAUGUGUUCCUCAUUUAAGCAUAAGUGGCCCCUCAAAGACGGCUGGCUCACGUCACGGUGAGAGGAAAGGCCCUCCCAUGGUUCCUCUUCUGUGGUCUCAGAAUGUGUCUUCUGUAGAAUUAAAUUACACUUGAGGUAACUAAUUCAUACCCCGGCUAAAAUCAGACACUACCAGCUUUAAGAUUAUGACUGUAUAUGGCACAGACAAAUAAAGUGGCAUUAACUAUUACAUAUUCAUAUUUUACUGUUUAAAUGAAUAUUCCUUUCACAGGGCUCAUUUCUUAAACCCAUGUGGUAGGUCAUGGUGAUUUAAGAACAGGUUAAUAAACAAGGCGAUGAAUGGAUUUUAAUCAAAGACCUCACUUAAUUUAACUGCAAUGCAUAAUAUGUAAACUUCAUAUAAUUAAUGUUUAACAUGUAGCUCUUUGUAUGUAAUGCUUGAAUGUAUGCCAUGUGGGUUAGUAAAGUAAAGUUAAAUGGUAAUGAGGGGGGGGGGGGGGGGGGGGUCCUAUAUGUGUGGGAGAGGACCAAUAGAUUAGAAGCUCUGAUCGGUCUAGAUAAAAACAGCUUUUCUUUUUGUUACCUCUGAGAUCCCAAGCGGAAGAGCUCAGUUCUUUUGCAAACCAACUCAGGUGAUGUUGUUACUCUCUGCGGUGACCAUAAAGCCUUGAUCAUUCAAACCUAGUCCUUCUUGACCUCUUGUAAUUUGAGUAUUAGAUCGUUGUUAUUAUCCGCAAAAGUCAGAGGUCAGAGAGAGAUGUUGUGGUGUGGCCGUAAGGGCCCAGAAGAGCCUGCGAUGGGUGGAUCUGCGAGGUAUGAUGGAUUAGAGCAGGGGUUCUCAAAGUUUUGACAGCUGAGGGCCAAUCUAGGAACCCAACAUUUUACUGAGGGCUGCCAAAGGAAAAAAAAUUGGCGGGAAACGCCGUCAGCAUCCCGGUGGUGAAAAAUAACAUUGCACCGUGGACCUCUGGGAGUGAGGUCAAGUGCGGUCUUUUUUUAAACUCAUUGCGGGCCGCCAGGAAUGUUUCUGCGGGCCUCCAUUGGUCCGUGGGCCGCACUUUGAGAACCAAUGGCUUAGAGGGAGGGAGCAGGAAGUCAAGGUGGAGAUCAUGAGAGUUCUCAAGGAGACCAAGCUACAACAUGCUAGCAAACUCAAUACUGAAGUUAAUUUGAAGUGUUCACAUUAUAUGUGCGCGCCUGAGCUUUAAACAGUUCACUACUCUGCAUCCUUCUCUGCGAGGCCAGACAUCUAAAAUACAGUCGAGUGUCGAUGGAAAAUGUGACUGAUGUCAAGCGGUGAAGGCAGAUUCAGCCCAGGGUUCUGGGACUCGCUCUAAACCAGCAGGGUAUUGGGUGACGGGGUUAAGAUCAACAGAUUUACAACCAAAAGGUAGAGAAAGCCAUCCUUGCGGUACCGGCCGGGCAAUGACCUUUCUCUGGCAAAAAGACGCCAUUGCCUUUGCCACCAUAGCCGUCAGAAGGGUCCUGCAAGAGAACUUAAAGCAUCGGCUUUGACUUAGUGAUGCUUUUUCUGUGGUUGAAAAGAUCAAUGCUACAUUUGGAGAUCAACUAACCAUGUCUUUAAUUUGGGACCACAUGAUUUCUUACUUUAAAAGGUUAAAAUCCCUCCUCCUAAAUUGGCAGUCGCACCACUGCCUUUAAGCCUCCUCUCCGCCCAGGUGUGUUAUGGGUACGGUGAUAGUUAUUGUCUCAUAGCGUGAAUCACGAUACAACGGAGCAGUAGGCAAACCACAACUUUGUCUUGUUACCGUCAUUUCUGUUGCUGCCGUUUCAUUUAUAUUUCUUUGUAGUUUCAUUCUGGUUUCUCUCGUUCUGUAUUCCUCCAACUCAAAUAAAUGUCACGUCAGUGUAUUUUAUUUUUUUACUAGUUUUAUUGAAACUCAAAUGUACAUGGGAGGAUGUGAUGUCACAGAAGGGGGAGGAUGUGAUGUCACAGAAGGGGGAGGAUGUGAUGUCACAGAAGGGGCCUGCCGUGGUCCUGGGUCUCCGUCUUCUUCAGGUGGCCCUUACUGAAGCCCUGGAUGGAGCUGAGGAGGGC